rnacentral:rRNA from 1 species
AUACGAAGGUCCCAAGCGUUAUUCGGAAUCACUGGGCGUAAAGAGUAUGUAGGCGGUUUGGUAAGUCAUGUGUGAAAUCCCGAAGCUCAACUUCGGAACUGCAUCCGAUACUGCUAGACUUGAGUAAUGGAGAGGCAGGUGGAAUUCUCGGUGUAGCAGUGAAAUGCGUGGAUAUCGAGAGGAAGACCAAUGGCGAAGGCAGCCUGCUGGACAUUUACUGACGCUGAGAUACGAAGGCUAGGGUAGCGAAAGGGAUUAGAAACCCCAGUAGUCC